GGGUAUUUGGUCUAGUGGUAUGAUUCUUGCUUCGGGUGCAAGAGAUCCUGAGUUCAAUUCAGAAUACUUU
rfam:Gossypium raimondii Chr11_contig_500, whole genome shotgun sequence.